rnacentral:lncRNA from 8 species
AGAAGAACACUAUAAUGCAGCAUUCUGCCCUUAUUAAAACCUCCAAUCAAUCAAUCAAUCAAUCAAUUAAUCAACAGUAUAAUUAGGAGAAUAAACGAAGGAACUCAUGAUCCCUGCAAGCCCUAGGAUGCAGAAUUGAGUUAGUGGAAUUCCUAAUGCAGUAACUUUCCUGUGCCGCAGAGAAAACAGAGAUAAAUCUAGUGAGUUUAUUGGUGAUUGAACCGAACAGGAUCCCAACGCUCCCAAGGAACUGAGCACAAUUGAUUGCCUCCCAUGUUACCAAGGAAACCAAGCAGCCCUCUGAGAUCCUAAUGGGGCAUUCUCACAGCAUAUUACCGUGAUGACAACAACAGAGAUAACUGAGAGGAGAACAGAGAGAAACAUUUCGGAGUAUCCCCAGGGAGACUUUGAGGAGCUGCAGAGAGAGACCCUGAGUCCUGAGGAUGAGGGGAUAAAGAAGAAAACACCAAUUGAAAAACAGCUGCAUGGAUUUGGAGAAUGCCCAAAGGGGAGAUUGUAAGACGUUUUAUAUCAAGGUCACAACAGGGGAUGGACACAAAGCGAUUGUGACUGCUAGUGUUAGAAGUCCUGAGAGACAUGUAGUACACACACACACCGGUUCUCUCCAUGAAAUGACUUAGACACAACAUCUAUGACGGUGCCAAACACUCACCACUCCUAGCAGCCAUUGUCAACGGAGGGUAAUUUCACAAAGCUAAGUGUUACUCUUGACCCUUUGAAGCCCUGAAAAAGAUGGGCCAGUAUCAACUGUACUUGGCACACUCUCCCGAUCUACCCCUGUGGCAC